GUGCUCGCUUCGGCAGCACAUAUACUAAAAUUGGAACGAUACAGAGAAGAUUAGCAUGGCCCCUGCACAAGGAUGACACACAGGCGGUGAAGCAGGUCUGCAGGUGUCU
rfam:Erinaceus europaeus unplaced genomic scaffold scaffold01325, whole genome shotgun sequence